AGUGAACGCUGGCGGUAGGCCUAACACAUGCAAGUCGAACGGCAGCACAGUAAGAGCUUGCUCUUACGGGUGGCGAGUGGCGGACGGGUGAGGAAUACAUCGGAAUCUACUUUUUCGUGGGGGAUAACGUAGGGAAACUUACGCUAAUACCGCAUACGACCUACGGGUGAAAGCAGGGGAUCUUCGGACCUUGCGCGAUUGAAUGAGCCGAUGUCGGAUUAGCUAGUUGGCGGGGUAAAGGCCCACCAAGGCGACGAUCCGUAGCUGGUCUGAGAGGAUGAUCAGCCCACCCUGAACCGAGACAAGGGCCAGACUCCUACGGGAGGCAGCAGUUGGGAAUAUUGGACAAUGGGCGCAAGCCUGAUCCAGCCAUACCGCGUGGGUGAAGAAGGCCUUCGGGUUGUAAAGCCCUUUUGUUGGGAAAGAAAAGCAGCAGGUUAAUACCCCGCUGUUCUGACGGUACCCAAAGAAUAAGCACCGGCUAACUUCGUG
rnacentral:rRNA from 1 species